UUCCGGUUGAUCCUGCCGGACCUGACUGCUAUCGGAUUGAUACUAAGCCAUGCGAGUCAUUGUAGCAAUACAAGGCAUACGGCUCAGUAACGCGUAGUCAACCUAACCUAUGGACGGGAAUAACCUCGGGAAACUGAGAAUAAUGCCCGAUAGAACAUUAUGCCUGGAAUGGUUUAUGUUCCAAAUGAUUUAUCGCCGUAGGAUGGGACUGCGGCCUAUCAGUUUGUUGGUGAGGUAUGGCCCACCAAGACUAUUACAGGUACGGGCUCUGAGAGGAGUAGCCCGGAGAUGGGUACUGAGACACGGACCCAGGCCCUAUGGGGCGCAGCAGGCGAGAAAACUUUGCAAUGUGCGAAAGCACGACAAGGUUAAUCCGAGUGGUUUCUGCUAAAGAAACCUUUUGUCAGUCCUAGAAACACUGAUGAAUAAGGGGUGGGCAAGUUCUGGUGUCAGCCGCCGCGGUAAAACCAGCACCUCAAGUGGUCAGGAUGAUUAUUGGGCCUAAAGCAUCCGUAGCCGGCUCUGUAAGUUUUCGGUUAAAUCUGUACGCUCAACGUACAGGCUGCCGGGAAUACUGCAGAGCUAGGGAGUGGGAGAGGUAGACGGUACUCGGUAGGAAGGGGUAAAAUCCUUUGAUCUAUUGAUGACCACCUGUGGCGAAGGCGGUCUACCAGAACACGUC
rnacentral:rRNA from 2 species